AUAAAAGCAGGGAUCUGUGACCAUUUGUGAGCAGGUCUCUCGUAAACUUCAGGGACAGAAACCGGCAAUGUUAUUGGGUGAACCUACUGAGUUAUACCAAUGAUUGAUGGUUCAGUAAACAAUGCUACAUUU